GAUGGCACGGCUGAACAAAGAACAUCAAGACGAGAUUAAAGGAGUGGACCAAAAUUAUCAAGAUGAGAUUAAACGACUGAACAAAAAGCAUCAAGACGAGAUGGAACGGCUUUACAAAGAACACCAAGAUGAGAUUGAUAGACUGGAAGGCAAACUCGAGCACCAGAAUUUUCAAUAGCUGCAACUACAAUAAAAAAAACCGCG